GUGAGGGGGAUCGUAGGUAACAUUCACUCUCGUCUGAUUUUUAUGAAUGAAACGCGUACGAGCGCAUCCAUUGAGGUACGAAGGAGUUCGAAAACCGAGGCCAGACGUACGACGUGUGUGUAACAGUAGUCGAGCUUCCUGGCCAUUGAUCUCUUCAGCUUCGAAACUAACUGGAUAUAUGGUGUGUCACGGGAUGAGAAUCUGCAGUUUAAGGUACGACGCACGAGCCUCACAACGCAUAACUUACGCACACGAGAGUAUAGCUACUGGUAGCGAGUAACCUGGCUGUCUGGCUCACCUCGAAUUGCCAGUGUGCAGCCUGCAACAAUUGUUUCGCCUGUUCCCUGG